rnacentral:misc_RNA from 1 species
AUAUAUAUAUAUAUAUAAUACAAAAAGCCAGUCAAGAUAACCAUCUUGCAUCAACAUUAACUUCAUUGAUUUCUUCAAUCAAGAAUUAUUUCACUCUUUAAGUUAACUUCACUAGUUUCUUUUCAUUAGGAAGUUUCAAACACAAUUACACCCAUCACUUUACCACUUCAGCUAGAGCCCACUGGACAAAAAAAAUUCAGCCAAUUUGAUGCUCUUUUCAUUCAAUUAAUAAAGCUAAUUUGUGUUUUCAGUCAAUGUGCAGAAGCAUAUGCAGGUAAAUGAUAACAAUAAAUACCAUAGCUAAUAAAGUUAAAAGGUGCUAGAAAGUAAAAUAACUGCCAAAGGUAAUGAACCUGAUGCAAGCAUGGCAAAGUGCGGAUCAGUUCUCCAACAUUAACUUGCUCCAAGCACACACUGCAAGUCAGAUCAUCAUCUGAAGCCUUCAUGCUUCCCACUGCAUUGGCAGUAUCUUGCUUCUUUUG